ensembl:lncRNA
CACUGCCCUAAUUCCAGUAGCCUGGAUACAAUAUAAGGGACGCAGAGAGGUUUGCCUUGUCCCUUGUUGCUUUGUUACCUUUUGACUGCCAUGAACUGUUUUUCCUCUGUGAUGCCCUCUGCUAUGCCACCCUACCUUGGAGCCAGGUGAUUAUGGACUGAAACCUCUACAAACUAGCUCUGUGAUCACUCUUCUCUGCAGGCCCGGACCUCAUAGACUGAACUAUGAACAGCCACUCAACUGGAAAACCUAAAUGCAAUGGGAGGAAUUGGACACCAGGCAGGGGCCAACUGGUGACACUUGACCACCAAAGACAAGUAUUAGAUAUCUUGUAGGCAGUUAGUGCCUUCUUUAAGGUGCCAGCCCUCCAGGAGCCAACACAGCAAGGAGCCAACAUGCAGGACAGUGAAGACACAUUCACUGAAGGCCAACAUUGUAAAAGGAGAGAAAUUAGCACACCCAUGUAGGAUGAAUAGCAGUGAUUGAUAUUCUAAACAGGUAUCAAUCACCUGGUGGGUGGGGGGGGGCAAGGUCUUAACCCAGCCUCCCCAGGAAAUAUCCCUGACCCACCCUUACUGAAAAUUCUUGUAUGCUUGCUACGUGACUUGCUCCCCUAUUUGACCCCCCAUUUAAUCAAUAUUACCUGGGUGACUGUACUUGUUUGUUUUUUUGGUACUGGAGAUCGAACUUGGGUCCUUGCUCUUGCGCAGCUGGCAUCAAAACCACUGAGCUAAAUUCCCGGCCCUAGUACUUGUAAUCUUAUUAGUUGGUCAUGGUUUUGCCCCACCUCAUGCCCACCUUGUAAAUUUCCAUUGAGUCUUAUAGUUUUGUCCCACUUUGUACCCAUCUUACCACAUGGCUUUGCUGUAUAAAACAUCUUUGAAAAGUGGGGUGGGCAAGCAACCCACUUUCCGGUCCCCCUUCUGUUUCUCUUAGGCAGAAGCUUUCUGUCUCUCAAUAAAUUUUUUCUACUCUUAACCUCCAUUGUUCUGAGAAUUAAUUCUUUGAUUUUAGAGAACACAAACUCGCGUUUUGAAUGUCUAGUAGGUUUGGGAGUUGAAUCUCUUCCC